AUUGAACGCUGGCGGCAGGCCUAACACAUGCAAGUCGAGCGAGCGGCGGACGGGUGAGUAAUGUAUGGGGACUGCCCGCUAGAGGGGGAUAACUACUGGAAACGGUAGCUAAUACCGCAUACUAUCGGAUAACCCAUAUGGGUUUAGCUAGUAGGUGAGGUAAUGGCUCACCUAGGCGACGAUCCCUAGCUGGUCUGAGAGGAUGAUCAGCCACACUGGGACAGAGACAGGGCCCAGACUCCUACGGAGGCAGAAGGAGGAAAUAUUCCACUAUGGGCAUAAGCCGGAUGCAGCCAUGCCGCGUGUAUGAAGAAGGCCCUAGGGUUGUAAUGUACUUUCGGUCGGGAAGCGUGACCGACAGAAGAAGCACCGGCUAACACCGUGCCAGCAGCCGCGGUAAUAC
rnacentral:rRNA from 1 species